GACGAACCGAGCGAACGUUGUUCGGAAUCACUGGGCUUAAAGGGCGCGUAGGCGGGCUGUCAAGUCUGGGGUGAAAUCCCACGGCUCAACCGUGGAACUGCCUUAGAUACUGACGGCCUCGAGGGAGAUAGGGGCGAGCGGAACUGUGAGUGGAGCGGUGAAAUGCGUUGAUAUUCACAGGAACUCCGGUGGCGAAGGCGGCUCGCUGGAUCUUUUCUGACGCUGAGGCGCGAAAGCUAGGGGAGCAAGCGGG
rnacentral:rRNA from 1 species